UACGGGGGGUGCGAGCGUUGUCCGGAAUCACUGGGCGUAAAGGGCGCGUAGGUGGUUUGAUAAGGGUGUGGUGAAAGUCCGGGGCUCAACCUCGAGAUGUCGGCGGAAACCGUCUGGCUAGAGUCCGGAAGAGGAGAGUGGAAUUCCUGGUGUAGCGGUGAAAUGCGCAGAUAUCAGGAAGAACACCGGUGGCGAAGGCGGCGAUCUGGACGAUGACUGACGCUGAGACGCGAAAGCGUGGGGAGCAAACAGG
rnacentral:rRNA from 1 species